GCCCCCAGAAGUAGAGCAAAGCCAAUAAUAAUUGCUGCUGGGAUGGGCUGUGGAGAAGGCAAUACAGAGCGGAGAGCUUUGGGAGCUUUCUCCUUGCCUUGGGUCAGCGCCCAAGGGGCCCUUCAUCCCCCUCCAGAGUUGUCCCCCCGGCUGGAACACUGCAAGCUGCUACAACUGGCCUUGACGCAGGCUUUCCAGCGCGCAGGAAACAGGAAGGAGCGUUAUUUCUCAACAUAGAACAAACAGAAGACAGAAUUAACUCCAUGAUAUAGCUGCAUUACCACUCUGCUAUUCACUUCCUGACUUCAGCUCAAGUGCCUACAGGCCCUAUCCUGCUAAGCUCUGUACAAGGCCUGACAUUUGACACCCAAGACCCCAGGACUUACACAGAGGCACAAGCGGAGGCCCUGGGGAGG